GGGGGCGAUCUGGCUUCGACGUGGGUGCUGAAGCAAAGGGAGCAGACCGGGGCGCACGAGGACCUCGUUAAAAACGUGCACAAGUUAGUUGCCAACGACAACUACGCUCUUGCUGCCUAAUUAAAGGCGCACGUCUCUCCAGGGAGUGGUGGCGGUUCUGGAGAGGCGACGAUGAGUCACCUCGGCGAUGUUGGUUUUCUCCAGCGACAUCGCUUAAACGUUUCUGGGGGACAGGUUCCGCCUCGUUUGUUCGUGGAAGUGGCGGUUCCGAAGCUUAAACACGGACUAAGUCUGUAGCGCCCUUCUGUGGAUCACUUGCGGACCCGGGUUCGAUUCCCGGCGCCUCCACCA
rnacentral:tmRNA from 1 species